UUUUGACCGCAGAAUAAACCAAGCAUGUAAAAUUGAGAACGUACUUUUCUACUGAUUCUACCUCCAACACUUCUACUUUCUCUCGCUGAGUAUUGUAAAUAUUGUUGUCGUCUCUCAAAAUCGUAAUAUUACUUGAUUUCUUUCUGAAAAGAAGAUUUGUCAAUAUUAAACAAGCAUAUAGCGCCAAUUACCAAACCGCUGCCCAAUAGCAUAAUAAGCAUGAUACAAAUGAGAAAUGUUUACAGAAGAAAUUGGAAAACAUUUAGAGAUUUAAACGAUUAUUAUGCAAUGUCACGAUUUAACAAAUAUGUGCAUAUGUAUGUGUGUACGUCACAUAAGGCUGCAACUUUUGUUGUUGUUUUUUGUUUUUUUUAUUUUUUUUUAAUUACUUUUAUACACAGUGGGACCUCGAUUUUCCGUGAUGGUCGGGACCGGAAGCAUUCUGUAUAAUCGAUUUUCCCGGUUAAUUAAGUGCCAACUUUUUCUACAUUUUUAAUAGAUAUUUUUAUUUAUUAAUAAAUGAAUAUGUACAUAUUUAUAUAAAAAUGAAAUAAAAAAUCCUUGAAGAUUUUGUA